AAUCCUGGCUCAGGACGAACGCUGGCGGCGUGCCUAAUACAUGCAAGUCGAGCGGACAGAUGGGAGCUUGCUCCCUGAUGUUAGCGGCGGACGGGUGAGUAACACGUGGGUAACCUGCCUGUAAGACGGGAUAACUCCGGGAAACCGGGGCUAAUACCGGAUGGUUGUUUGAACCGCAUGGUUCAGACAUAAAAGGUGGCUUCGGCUACCACUUACAGAUGGACCCGCGGCGCAUUAGCUAGUUGGUGAGGUAAGGCUCACCAAGGCGACGAUGCGUAGCCGACCUGAGAGGGUGAUCGGCCACACUGGGACUGAGACACGGCCCAGACUCCUACGGGAGGCAGCAGUAGGGAAUCUUCCGCAAUGGACGAAAGUCUGACGAGCAACGCCGCGUGAGUGAUGAAGGUUUUCGGAUCGUAAAGCUCUGUUGUUAGGGAAGAACAAGUGCCGUUCAAAUAGGGCGGCACCUUGACGGUACCUAACCAGAAAGCCACGGCUAACUACGUGCAGCAGCCGCGGUAAUACGUAGGUGGCAAGCGUUGUCCGGAAUUAUUGGGCGUAAAGGGCUCGCAGGCGGUUUCUUAAGUCUGAUGUGAAAGCCCCCGGCUCAACCGGGGAGGGUCAUUGGAAACUGGGAACUUGAGUGCAGAAGAGGAGAGUGGAAUUCCACGUGUAGCGGUGAAAUGCGUAGAGAUGUGGAGGAACACCAGUGGCGAAGGCGACUCUCUGGUCUGUAACUGACGCUGAGGAGCGAAAGCGUGGGAGCGAACAGGAUUAGAUACCCUGGUAGUCCACGCCGUAAACGAUGAGUGCUAAGUGUUAGGGGGUUUCCGCCCCUUAGUGCUGCAGCUAACGCAUAAGCACUCCGCCUGGGGAGUACGGUCGCAAGCUGAAACUCAAAGGAAUUGACGGGGGCCCGCACAAGCGGUGGAGCAUGUGGUUUAAUUCGAAGCAACGCGAAGAACCUUACCAGGUCUUGACAUCCUCUGACAAUCCUAGAGAUAGACGUCCCCUUCGGGGCAGAGUGA
rnacentral:rRNA from 1 species